CCAGACUCCUACGGGAGGCAGCAGUGGGGGAUAUUGCACAAUGGGGGGAACCCUGAUGCAGCGACGCCGCGUGGGUGAAGAAGCGCCUCGGCGCGUAAAGCCCUGUCAGCAGGGAAGAAAAUGACGGUACCUGAAGAAGAAGCCCCGGCUAACUACGUGCCAGCAGCCGCGGUAAUACGUAGGGGGCAAGCGUUAUCCGGAUUUACUGGGUGUAAAGGGAGCGUAGGCGGCGACGCAAGUCAGAAGUGAAAGCCCGGGGCUCAACUCCGGGACUGCUUUUGAAACUGCGUUGCUAGAUUGCGGGAGAGGCAAGUGGAAUUCCUAGUGUAGCGGUGAAAUGCGUAGAUAUUAGGAGGAACACCAGUGGCGAAGGCGGCCUACUGGACGGUGACUGACGCUGAGGCUCGAAAGCGUGGGGAGCAAACAGGAUUAGAUACCCUUGUAC
rnacentral:rRNA from 1 species